rnacentral:lncRNA from 1 species
GCAUAAUGUGUGCGUCUGUGUAUGGUGCUUUAUGAUCUAAUGAUGCUUUAAUUAAGCUGAUAUUCAGAUAAGCGUCAAUGCUCAGAGCUCCCUGGAGAUGCAGCUUAUGGAACAGCAGAUGACGGGGAAGGGUGGGCGAUGAUUAAAACAUCACAUGGGAUAAAUGUCAAAGUAGAGGUCCCACCCAGGAGAGUUAUGAAUUGACUGCACCGCUUCUCAUCUCCACCCCCUCAAUCAUUGCUGAUGGGCAGAGGGAAACCAUUUUCUGCCAUCUGGUUUUUGCAAAAGUCAGGCAGUAAGCUCUUUGGGACAAGGAUCUUAUCUUGUGUAGUUCAAGAGUGAGCACAUGGCUGUGUACACUCACAGACAGCCCUGUUAGUACCGAAUGCAAUCAUAAAAAUAGCCCAGCCAUGGACCUUUGAUAACAUCCCUGCCGUGGGCUCAAACCUGAGUCACUGUGUCUGAAGGGCACUGGGUUCCCCAGGCUGAUGCCUUAUGUCUUGCAAACGAGCAGCACAUCAGCUGAUAAGGUGACUGGGCCAUUGUGAAAAUCAUACAGUAGUUCCUACAAUGCUGGAAAAACAGCCGUUAAACCACAACUUAUUUUUCCCUUGGUGUUUGGUUUUGGCAAUGCAUUCUUUUCAAAUGAGAACUAUGCCAAACAUUUUGUAUGAACACUUCGAGUCAGCAAGUAUGUGAAUGACCUCUCUAUGACAUGCCAGGAGACAGGAGAGGAAGAGUUGUGGCCGAAGCAUGCUGGGCUCAGAACUCUUGCUCUGCAGGAAUGAGACAGCUCAGAGCAGCAUCUGGAAGCUGGCCAUGGACAGAACAACUCACAGGGCACAGCAAGGUGUCACAGCUCUUCUAGGAUCACUGGCCAGGCCACCUCAGACAGAUCUCUAUGAUUUUCAGAAAAGUGUGCAGACUUUAGGUGAAUGCUUCAUUGUUUGGGGAUCCGGAACUGAAUUCUCCUCCAGGACUAGCUAUGAAAUCACUGGAGGACAACAGGAGAGAGCUCAUGGGGUGCUGUGUGUGUUGGUUAAAAAUGGACAGAUGUGCAUGCCAUCCUGGGCACGUGUCCAUUCUACAUGGGAAUGGUCAUGGGAUGAACGCAGCAGUCUGGCACUAGAGACAGACCUGGCACCAGGAUUUCCUGAGGAAGAAGUCCCCCUCUUGAAUUUCAAACUUCAUGAAGGCAAGCCUUCUUUACUCGUGUCUGCUGUUCCAAUGUCCAGCACAACACUUUGCAUGUAGGAGUAUUUUUCUCAAAACCUGUGUCGAUUUGAUUCCGGCUCUGUCACCAGGCUGGAGUGCAGUGGCAAGAUCUCGGCUCAUCACAAAACUCUGCCUCUCUGGUUCAAGCAAUUCUCUGCCUCAGCCUCCUAAGUUGCUGGGAUAACAGGUGCCCACCACCACACCAGGCUAAUUUUUUGUAUUUUUAGUAGAGACGGUGUUUUGCCAUCCUGGCCAGGCUGGUCUUAAACUCCUGAUCUCAUGAUCCACCUGCCUCAGCCUCCCAAAGUGCUGGGAUUACAGGUGUGAGAUUUAUUAUUCUUUUUUAUUUCCCAUAGUGCUCAGAAUACACUGCUAAGUAGUCAAUAAAUGCUACUCAAUUGAGUAAAACCUUCAGUGAAACUGGACUGACUGAUUCAACAGGGUGUUUUUAGAUUUAUCCUGUACACACAGAAUUAGACCAUCCCAUGGGAUUGCUAUGAUGAAGAACAGAACGCUUCCCUGGGAUGGAUGAAAAGGAGAAUCACCCCAAACAACAAGACAACCAAGCUAUGAGCCGGCACGCUCCUAUCUGCAUGACUGAUAAAGACCAUCUGAUGCCGCCAGUUAUUCAGCGAGGUCAUUCUCUCCACAAAGUCACAAUAUUUAUUUUAACGCCAGUGACUAUUGAGUGUGUGUGUAUAUCUAUGUAGUGAUAAAACACUGCCGUAAUGUGUACACAGGGUCUGAACAAGAUCAAUUCAUCAGGACAAUCAUGCAGCCUACAUGUGAGAGAGGUUGUUUAUGCAGUGGGCUGAUAGAAUACCAUAAUACAAGCCACAGAGAAGCACUGUCUAAUGUUCAUAAUGCAUGCUAUAUAUUUCACAAUAUGGGCAUUAUAUAAAUAAUUAAUAGUGUGGACUAGAGAUAGCACUGAUAGGAAGGAGAGAGACAGCAUUAGAGAAAGUCUGCUCGAAUACUCCACUCUAACGAGUGGGAUAGAAACGUUUCACCAAGCACAUCACAUGUUUUAGGGAUUCUUUUUAUCAAGCAUUGUCUUGUGGAAUGGCGAAUUUUUCUUCUCAGUGACUGCUAGUCAUACAUAUACAAUUUUGAAGUGUUUUAUUUGUAAGUUUAGAAAAAACUGUUUCCACUGUCUAUGUGUAUGAAAGUCAAUGUAGAAAGAUUGCCCCAUGAAACAGGACAAUAAAAUGCAACUGUUUAAACUGCUUAGAUGCCAGUGUUUUUCUCAGAAAUGUUAUAUUCAGGAAUACAGUAAGCUUAAUUGGCAAGAUAUUGACUAGGCUAUAUGUAAUUUAUCUUUCAACCAUUACUAUGUGUUUCCCCAAAUACCCUGUUGGCUACCUAGAGAGGAGCACUAUACUGAUGAGCACGAGCUCAGGUCCCCAAGG